AUGUUUAUCUAGACGGGGUCAAUGAGUGAUCAUUAAGGUCGAUGGCCUAGGUUGAUGACCUCCAUUGCACACUUUGGUGGGGGCGCAUGCCUAAAGUCAGCCCAAGUUGCUGAGCCUACGUCAUAAAUCUUUGGGC
rnacentral:snRNA from 1 species